UUGUGGGGUGCUCGAGUGGCGAACGGGUGAGUAAUACGUGAGUAACCUGCCCUUGACUCUGGGAUAAGCCUGGGAAACUGGGUCUAAUACUGGAUAUGACAUGUCACCGCAUGGUGGUGUGUGGAAAGGGUUUUACUGGUUUUGGAUGGGCUCACGGCCUAUCAGCUUGUUGGUGGGGUAAUGGCUCACCAAGGCGACGACGGGUAGCCGGCUUGAGAGGGUGACCGGCCACACUGGGACUGAGACACGGCCCAGACUCC
rnacentral:rRNA from 1 species